rnacentral:rRNA from 1 species
AUUGAACGCUAGCGGCAGGCCUAACACAUGCAAGUCGAGCGAGCGGCGGACGGGUGAGUAAUGUAUGGGGACUGCCCGAUAGAGGGGGAGAACUCCUGGAAACGGUAGCUAAUACCGCAUACUAUCGGAUAACCCAUAUGGGAUUAGCUAGUAGUUGGGGUAAUGGCGCACCUAGGCGACGAUCCCUAGCUGGUCUGAGAGGAUGAUCAGCCACACUGGGACUGAGACACGGCCCAGACUCCUACGGAGGCAGCAGUGGGGAAUAGUGCACAAUGGGCGCAAGCCUGAUGCAGCCAUGCCGCGUGUAUGAAGAAGGCCUUCGGGUUGUAAAGUACUUUCAGUCGGGAGGCGUUACCGACAGAAGAAGCACCGGCUAACUCCGUGCCAGCAGCCGCGGUAAUAC